CCACGAGUGGGUUUAGACCUUGUUGUCCCUUUGCUUCCAGAGCACGUGACGAACGCCAUGGCGCUGGCGAUCCGCCUCCUCGGCCGCCGCCGGUUCCUCCAGCCACCGCUCGCCGCCGCCGUUGCCCACCUCUCCGCCGCUACCCAGAACCCCAGACACCAUCACCACAACCUCCCUCUUCAUACUCCCACUCUCCCGUUGCCCCCUCGCGAGAUCCCCCCUUUCGCUCUCCAAUCGCGAAGCUUCUCGUGGUACUCCCGCUCUAGCUCCGGGUCGGGCCCCAGUCCGGGAACCCCUGCCGCGGACACUCCCGGAGAGGAAGCGUACACUGAGAAGGAAAGCGUAUUCUUGGACAACGCGCAUAUCUUUGAUGGCGAGGAAAAUGUCGCCAGCGCGGCGGGCGCUGCAGCGGAUGCCGUGGGAGGUGCCGGCGGCGCCACGGCCGAAGGUGUUGGAGGAGUGUCAGAACUGGCUGUCAGCACAAUGUCGGAGCUCAUGGACGGGUUCCAUAACCUCACUGGACUGCCGUGGUGGAUAGCGAUCUCCCUUUCAACUGUGGCCAUGAGACUGUUGAUACUUCCUACCCUCAUAGUACAGCUUCAGAAGACUGCUAAAAUUGGUCAAAUAAUGCAAAAAUUGUCCUCUUCAUUACCCCCUCCUCAGCCGGGAAGUAACUUCCGUGAACAGUACCUUCUGUUCCGGAGGAAAAGGGAGGAGCUUGGCUGUCCCUCCUUUUUAUGGAAUUUUGCCUAUUUUUCAGUACAGUUCCCUUGCUUUAUUCUUUGGAUGAUGAGCAUUCGGAGUAUGUGCUUGAAUCAUCACCCAGGAUUUGAUAAUGGUGGUAUUCUGUGGUUCCAUGACUUGACUGAGUUUCCACAUGGCACUCUAGGUCCUAUCUUUCCUAUCUUAGUUGCUGGUCUCCAUUAUUUAAAUGUUCAGAUUUCUUUUCAGGGGUCCCAGAUCAAACAUCUUCCAGGAAUUUUCGGCUUGCUGUUAAAGUACUAUAGAAUAUACUUGGAUGUGCUGACUAUCCCUUUGUUUCUUAUCGCGUAUGUGAUCCCUCAGGGAAGCCUGGUGUACUGGACUACAAAUGGUUUAUUUUCUGUAGCUCAGCAAUUGUCCCUAAGAAAUGGUGCUGUACGCAAGCUAUUGGGAUUGCCAUAUAUUAGAGCUCAGGUUGGUAGCAGAGCAGAAAAGUCUCCUCUUGAGGGCUCUAAGACGAUGCAGCGGUCACUUCUUGAAGAUGCUGACUUGCAAAAGGAAUUGACACCUUCUGAUAAUGGAACUGCCAUUGAGAGUACAACGUCUAAUUUUGUACUGGAAAGUAUGGAAGAAAAUAUAUCCAUGUCCAGUUCACCUGAAGAGCUACUUGAACAAGCAUUACAGUAUCUGGGAACUGGUCGGCGAGAUCAAGCUAUUCCACUGAUCAGCAGUAGAGAGAAACCCAGAUCUGUCUACAGCGUUGAUUGGAAUGGGACAAACCCUGUUCUCAAACAGAUUGUUUCCUGAAGCCUCAGAAUGUUUUAAACAUGCUAUAGAAAAGAUUCAAGAAGAUGACCCUCUUCUUGUACUUGCACUUUUCGGGGCAGGUCUUUCACAUGAGCGGCAGGGGGAUAAUGAGAUGGCAAUCAAGCUCCUUCGGAGAAUAGCAGAGCUCAAGGAACCGGAAAAGCCCAUCAACAAAACGUGCUACUUCCAAGGGAUGGUUAUUUUGGGAAGUAUAUUAUCCAAAGAAGGCCGGAACUCUGAGGCUGCCAAAUAUUUGCAGAUGGCUAUUGCUUACGAUCCUUCUGUAGAAAGACUUCUGAAGGAAUGUGAGGAAGGAAUGGAUGAUCAACCGAAGUCAGAGGAAAAAUGACAUGCUGGACCUGAAAAGAUCAUAGUAACAGAGAUAGCAUACGUAUACCGCCUAUUGUUUUUGGACACAAGUUUGUUUGACAUGAAACACUGGAAUGGCAGCCAGCAAAUCCUAGACCAUACUUGAUCAUAGAAGAAAUAGAGAAACCAGAGGGUGGCAAUGGCACAAUUGGAUUGCACGCCUUUGAAGUCUGAAGAUACCUCACGUAAAUCUGCUGUCCAUUUCACACCACCCAGUGUGCUUGAGCCCUUAAGUCCCAACACAUGCAGUUAUUACUUCUGUACUUGUGUAGAAUAUAGUCGCUUCAAAUUUUGUAAAGUAAAAUGCAGCAGGAAUCCCAGUGAUUGACUUAGGGAAAUAUCAAAAAUUUCCAUACACGUAAUCUCAGUUUACCGAACAA